rnacentral:piRNA from 1 species
UGGUUAGCAUACUGUCUCUGUGCCC